rnacentral:rRNA from 1 species
AACGUAGGAGACAAACGUUAUCCGGAGUUACUGGGCGUAAAGGGCGUGUAGGUGGUAUCGUAAGUCUGGCGUGAAAUUUCUCGGCUUAACCGAGGCAGGUCGUCGGAUACUGCGAGGCUAGAGGACGGUAGAGGCGUGUGGAAUUCCGGGUGUAGUGGUGAAAUGCGUAGAGAUCCGGAGGAACACCAGUGGCGAAGGCGACACGCUGGGCCGUACCUGACACUGAUGCGCGACAGCAUGGGGGAGCAAACAGG